rnacentral:rRNA from 1 species
ACGCUCGACACCUACGGGAGCAGCAGUAGGGAAUCUUCCGCAAUGGACGAAAGUCUGACGGAGCAACGCCGCGUGAACGAUGAAGGUUUUCGGAUCGUAAAGUUCUGUUGUUAGGGAAGAACAAACUUCGUUUGAAUAAGGCGGAGUCAUGACGGUACCUAACGAGAAAGCCACGGCUAACUACGCGCCAGCAGCCGCGGUAAUCUGAGCGGGCUGGCAAGGC